rnacentral:rRNA from 1 species
AGUGAACGCUGGCGGUAGGCCUAACACAUGCAAGUCGAACGGCAGCACAGUAAGAGCUUGCUCUUACGGGUGGCGAGUGGCGGACGGGUGAGGAAUACAUCGGAAUCUACUUUUUCGUGGGGGAUAACGUAGGGAAACUUACGCUAAUACCGCAUACGACCUACGGGUGAAAGCAGGGGAUCUUCGGACCUUGCGCGAUUGAAUGAGCCGAUGUCGGAUUAGCUAGUUGGCGGGGUAAAGGCCCACCAAGGCGACGAUCCGUAGCUGGUCUGAGAGGAUGAUCAGACACACUGGAACUGAGACACGGUCCAGACUCCUACGGGAGGCAGCAGUGGGGAAUAUUGGACAAGGGGCGCAAGCCUGAUCCAGGCAUACCGCGUGGGUGAAGAAGGACUUAGGGUUGUAAAGCCAUUUUGUUGGGAAAGAAAAGAAGCAGGUUAAUACCCCGCUGUUAUGACGGUACCCAAAGAAUAAGCACCGGCUAACUUCGUG